UAAUACUGUCUGGUAAUGCC
rnacentral:miRNA from 2 species